rnacentral:rRNA from 1 species
GAUCCGUAGCGGGUCUGAGAGGAUGAUCCGCCACACUGGGACCGAGACACGGCCCAGACUCCUACGGGAGGCAGCAGUGGGGAAUUUUGGACAAUGGGCGAAAGCCUGAUCCAGCCAUGCCGCGUGAGUGAAGAAGGCCUUCGGGUUGUAAAGCUCUUUCGGUGGGGAAGAAAUUGCACGGGUUAAUAGCCUGUGUAGAUGACGGUACCUGGAGAAGAAGCACCGGCUAACUACGUGCCAGCAGCCGCGGUAAUACGUAGGGUGCGAGCGUUAAUCGGAAUUACUGGGCGUAAAGCGUGCGCAGGCGGUUUGGUAAGUCAGAUGUGAAAUCCCCGGGCUCAACCUGGGGACUGCAUUUGAGACUGCCAAGCUGGAGUUUGGCAGAGGGGGGUGGAAUUCCACGUGUAGCAGUGAAAUGCGUAGAGAUGUGGAGGAACACCGAUGGCGAAGGCAGCCCCCUGGGCCAAUACUGACGCUCAUGCACGAAAGCGUGGGGAGCAAGCAGGAUUAGAUACCCUGGUAGUCCACGCCCUAAACGAUGUCAACUAGGUGUUGGGAGGGUUAAACCUUUUAGUGCCGUAGCUAACGCGUGAAGUUGACCGCCUGGGGAGUACGGCCGCAAGGCUAAAACUCAAAGGAAUUGACGGGGACCCGCACAAGCGGUGGAUGAUGUGGAUUAAUUCGAUGCAACGCGAAAAACCUUACCUACCCUUGACAUGUCAGGAAUCCUGGAGAGAUUUGGGAGUGCUCGAAAGAGAGCCUGAACACAGGUGCUGCAUGGCUGUCGUCAGCUCGUGUCGUGAGAUGUUGGGUUAAGUCCCGCAACGAGCGCAACCCUUGUCAUUAAUUGCCAUCAUUCAGUUGGGCACUUUAAUGAGACUGCCGGUGACAAACCGGAGGAAGGUGGGGAUGACGUCAAGUCCUCAUGGCCCUUAUGGGUAGGGCUUCACACGUCAUACAAUGGUCGGUUCAGAGGGUUGCCAACCCGCGAGGGGGAGCCAAUCUCAGAAAGCCGAUCGUAGUCCGGAUCGCAGUCUGCAACUCGACUGCGUGAAGUCGGAAUCGCUAGUAAUCGCGGAUCAGCAUGUCGCGGUGAAUACGUUCCCGGGUCUUGUACACACCGCCCGUCACACCAUGGGUGCGGGUUCUGCCAGAAGUAGUUAGCCUAACCGCAAGGAGGGCGAUUACCACGGCAGGGUUCGUGACUGGGGUGAAGUCGUAACAAGGUA